rnacentral:rRNA from 1 species
AACGAACGCUGGCGGCGCGCCUAAUACAUGCAAGUCGAGCGAGAAGGUGUAGCAAUACACUUGUAAAGCGGCGAACGGGUGAGGAAUACAUGGGUAACCUACCCUCGAGUGGGGAAUAACUAGCCGAAAGGUUAGCUAAUACCGCAUACGAUUCCCGGACUUCGGUUCGGGAAAGAAAGCGAUACCGUGGGUAUCGCGCUCCUGGAUGGGCUCAUGUCCUAUCAGCUUGUUGGUGAGGUAACGGCUCACCAAGGCUUCGACGGGUAGCUGGUCUGAGAGGACGAUCAGCCACACUGGCACUGCGACACGGGCCAGACUCCUACGGGAGGCAGCAGUAAGGAAUAUUGCGCAAUGGGCGACAGCCUGACGCAGCGACGCCGCGUGGGGGAUGAAGGUCUUCGGAUUGUAAACCCCUUUCGGGAGGGAAGAUGGGAUGGGUAACCAUUCGGACGGUACCUCCAGGAGCAGCCACGGCUAACUUCGUGCCAGCAGCCGCGGUAAUACGAAGGUGGCAAGCGUUGUUCGGAUUCACUGGGCGUACAGGGAGCGUAGGCGGUUGGGUAAGCCCUCCGUGAAAUCUCCGGGCCUAACCCGGAAAGUGCAGAGGGGACUGCUCGGCUAGAGGAUGGGAGAGGAGCGCGGAAUUCCCGGUGUAGCGGUGAAAUGCGUAGAGAUCGGGAGGAAGGCCGGUGGCGAAGGCGGCGCUCUGGAACAUUUCUGACGCUGAGGCUCGAAAGCGUGGGGAGCAAACAGGAUUAGAUACCCUGGUAGUCCACGCCUUAAACUAUGGAUACUAAGUGUCGGCGGGUUACCGCCGGUGCCGCAGCUAACGCAGUAAGUAUCCCGCCUGGGAAGUACGGCCGCAAGGUUG